AAGGCAGAGGAGAGGGCCUUGUCCUCAUGAAGCCACACAAGUAAGAGGCAGGUCCAAGCCAGACUUCUGAGAGCAGCGGUUGCAGAUUGGAAGGGCACCAGCCACUGCCUGGGAAGCUACAGGUGAUGCCUGAGCAGGUCACCAGGGGACAGAUGCUGAUGUCGGGCCUCAGUCACCUAGAGGUUAGGGGACUUUCCCAGGGUGCUGUGAGUGGUGGGGCUGGGGCAGGUUCAUGAAGCCAGGCGGGCAGCCCAACUCUAGAGGCCACCUGACCCAUUCGGCGGGCUGGGCUGCUUUUCAUGGUCUCUGCCACACAUGUGCACUCACACAUGUAUGUGCAAAUACACACAGCCAAACACCACAAACACCAUGUGCACAUGGCCCUGACCAGGCUUCUCACUGAGAUCAGAAACAGAACUGCGGCCCAGAGUGGAGAAAUGAUUUACCAGAGCUUGCGGAAGCCAGCCAUACCAACCCCCAGCCCAAGGUCCUUGCCGCCCCUUUGAAGGUGUGUUGCCAAAGGAAACUGUGUUAUACACGCCAAUCAGUUCAGAUGACAAGAGAAGCCCCCAAAUUCCCAAGCAAGAUCUUGGGCAGCAGCCCUAGGCGUUGUCUGCGCAUUUGGUACAUUGUCACUUACCCGCUAUCACUCCUCGACCAAACUUUUCCCCUUUCCUGAGCAAGGCCUGAAUCUGAGCAGGAGUCAUCCCGAGUCUCUCCACCAGCAGCUCCCGACAGGCAUCGCCUUCCCAGUCCCUGUGAGCAAUGUGGACGGCGAUGGUACAGUUCCGCUGGCUGCUCAGCAGAGGACGCCAGCGCGUCUCCACAGUCUUGAUUCCAUUUAAGACAAAGCCAGCAUAAGGCUGCCGGAAGGAGAGGCAGCCAAACUUCAUCUUCGCAAGCGCCCCGGGCCUCCCGUAGCCUGCGGAAGCACAGAAGCGCAUCACACGCCAGCCCUUCAAGCUCAUGGGCAGUGGCCUGACCUUCCCCCCGUGUCUCUCAGGUGGCCUAAAUCGCACUGACCUUGAUGGUCUGCUGCUUCCGUCUGUCACUGAUGUCGAGCACCACAGCAGGCCCAAGGGAAGGGGCUAGGAUUCGGCUGACUCAGGUCCAUCCCAUGGAGUCUUUGGGGCGGUCCGGAGUAGGGCGGGGACAGCUAGAGGAAGGCACAGGCAGGAUAGCAUGUGGUCAGUGCUAUGACAGAGGUCACCGAGCCCUAGGGCAACACAGAGGACAGAGGGCCCCCUCGGCCUAGCCAGAGCGGAGAGUCGGGGCUGGUGUUAGCCCUCUUCCAGCACAGAGGGACAGUCCCACGCUCUGCUUCUCUUCCCUUUCCCCUGCUGUGCCCUGCCAAUACUCUCAGUGCCCUGGCCCUGCCGCCACCAAGGCACUGACCUUCCCAGCUCCUACUCCAGGGCUGCUGAGCCCACAUCGUUGAUAUCCAAUCUCAGCUCUGUCCUCAGGAUGCACCGUGACCUCAGAUGGCCCUCAGUCAGACAUCUCCUCUCCACCCCUCUGGGUGCCACCUUCCUCAAGCCCCUUCCCCCACCACUGCUCUCCACUGUCAGCAGACGCCCCUGUCCCAAUCUGAGCUGAGAAAAGAAGAAUGAUAAUCAGAACAACUGGCAACCCCCCACACAUGCCUUCCACGUGCCAGCCUCUGGGAUGGCAUGAUCUUCAGAUCAUCAAAUUGAAUCUUCAAGUAACCCAGCAGGGUCAGUGGUACUGUGAGGCCCACUCUAUGGCUGAGGAGAAUGAGGCACCAGCCCACAGUCACACGGGCUCUGACUUCCCACAACUCUUGCCCAGCCUCCUGCGUGUGUGGCUUGGGAGAGGGUCCCCUCCUCUUGCACGGAGGACAGCCCUGUGCCUUGGAAGGAACCCUGGGCUUGAAACCAGAACCUCAGCCCAGUCAUAGACUCUUGAGAUGCCUCAGUUUCCACAUGGCUGUGAGGAAGGGAGAUAAGGCACCAAGAGCACCCAGCCCAGUACGUGGCACCUAACAGAACAGUCAGAAAUAGUGGCCGCCCUCACCCCUCAGGCCCGUGGCCCCGCCCCCUGGCCCUGAACUCCACCCUUGAGCUGCCCCUACUCCUCUCUCUGUCCUUCCUUUCAACACAUAAACGCAACCUCUAGUACGCUCUAUGAUUUUAAGAAAAUAUACCCACCCUCAUGAGACAAAGCCCUGAUAGGGCCAAAGCUGCCUGGUAUUCACUCCUUUCCCAGUCUGCACUGCAGCCUUCUGAGCUCCAGAUCUCCUGCUUUUCUCCCGCCUCUGGGGUGAGCUGCCUCAGCUGAGCCGGUUGCCUGCUGUGCUCUGGACCCUGCUCCUCUGGCUCACUCCGGGCCCUGGGUGCCACCAGCCACCAUCUAUGCUCGCUCAGCAUCCCUACUCUGAGCACACGCGCGCCUCCCACUCUGCCUCCCUUCUCUACAACCCUGAACAGCCGAGACCUCAGAAGAGCUGUCUACAUGCGCAGUCUCUACUUCCUCUCUGAACCUUCUGCCCCCACCCCCACCUUUCUCCCUUUAUUCCCCACCCCCCCCACCACCCACUCCACUGACUGACCUAUCCCCACAAGCACCCAUGGCCGGCCUCAUGCCAGUCCUGUCUUCAUCUUAGUCCAUGCUCAGCAGCCCCAGCAUGGCUGGGCACACUCCUUCCCUUCUUCUGGGACCCCCAUGUUGCUCACCGUCCUGCUCUGAAUCCCGUGGUGCAGGCCACCCCCCUUCAGACUCAGCCUUAGGUGGACAGGCCCAUACAUACUCAGGACCCCAACCAUCACCACCAAGUCCACCUCCCUUCCACCUCUGUGAGUGGCAUCACCAGCUACAGUGUUCCUGCCCCAGACCUAGCUGCUCUCUGCCCUGCCUUUCUUUCCCACAUCUGCGGCCCACAUCCCGUGGCACUGUGUCCAAAACCGACACUGAAUCUGAUCCCUUUCCAUAAUCUCUAUGGCCACAAUCCCAAUCCAAUCCCCUAAAACCCCCUGCCUUCUGAAGAAGUCUCCUGAUAGCACCCCCACCCCCCCCCAGCACUUGUCCUCUGCACUCUUGUGACCACACUGCCAUCGGAAUGAUCUUGGUACAGGGACAAUGAGAUUAUGUCACUCCUCUACUGAAACCUUUCAAGGGCUCCCUGCCCCAACUAGCACAGAAUCCACACUUCCUCUCAGGGCACUCAAGGUCCCUCCUGAUCUGGUUUCCCACCCCAGCCACGUCCUCUCCUCUCCCCUUUAUUCACCACCCUGAAGCCACACAGGCCUUCCAUCCCCUGAGGGAACAUGCCAAGCUUGUUUCUACCUCAGAGCCUUUGUCAGUUGUGAUGGGUUGCAUUGUGUCCUCUUAAAAUGCGUAUGUUGAAGUCCUAAACCCCAGCACCUCAAAAUGUGGCCUUAUAUAUAAAAACAGAGUCAUUACAGAGGCAAUCAAGUGAGACUGAAGCCAUCAGGGCGGACCCGCAUCCAAUGUGGCUGGCGUCCUUAUGAAAAGGGGGAUUUGAGAGACAGUCACGCACACAGGGAGAACACCAUGAGAAGAUAAACGCAGAGAUAAGGGAGAUGCUUCUACAAGCUAAUGAGUGCCAAAGAUUGCCGGCCAGCCGCCUGCAGCUAAGAGAAAGGGACAGACCAGAUUGUCUUUCACAGCCCACAGAACAAACGAACCUGGCCACCACUUUGAUUUCAGACUUCCAUCCUCCAGAACUGCGAGACAAUGAUUGUCUGUUCUUUAAGCCAGCCCCUUUAUGGUCCUUUGUUUCAGCCAUCUUGGCAAACUGCUGUUCCCAACACAUCUGCACAGGCUAGGGCACGAGUUUGCCAUUUGACAGCACAUCAAGCCCAUUCUUUCCACCUGACAAUCUUCAUCUACCUUGUUUUUCACUGCCUGGGUGAUAUCCCAUUGUUGGUCGUCUCAUAAUUUGCCUGACCAUUCCUCCACUGAUGGAGAGUUACAAGUUGCUUCCCACUUUUGCCACUAGAAAUGACAUUACUUCUAACACUCGCUGUGUGAAGACAUGCUGAAGGAAAUGCCUCGGCCGCCUGGCACGCCCAUCUAAGAUGCUGAUAUCUGCCAGCAAAUGACUUUCCACAAAGACUCACCCGUGUACCCUCCACCAACCCAUCCAUGGUGCCAUUUCCUCACACACUUGUGGCCCCUGAGCAUGAUUAUUCUUCUGAUGAGUGACCAAAGAUAACCAGGUUCCUUGGUUCUGGAUUACUUCUGACGGAGGCUGAAUGUCCCCCACAGGGCCUGGCCACUUCCAUCGGGAUAAAUGGCUACAGUGAAUGUUUGCCUCUUUUCUGCCGCCCAGUUUCUUAGCCAACCCUUUUCUCGUCAUCACCACAAAAUCACAACAACUGUGUGUGUGUGGAAUCCCUAGUAGGAACUGAUGUAACUGAAAAGGCAAGAAGGGGGUUGAGUCCCCUCCUACCUGGUGCUGCAGAGAGUACCUGCUUUACGGCCAGAGGAGGAAACACUCUUCCACUUGGUUUCUUUACCUGCACAACAAGGAAGAUAAAGAGGAAAGGUCAUUAAAUGCAAGUCAGCAAAGCUGGUUAAUGGCCCUAGGAAGGUCUUCUACUCAGCAGGCAUUGGAAACCAAGAGCUGGGAGGGCCGGUCCUAAGAGUAACACAUGUGCACCUCACUCACGGUUUGGUUCUGCUAAUCAGAGCGGUGGGACCCUCCACAUCUGUCUGGGUCACAGGGUGCACCAGUCCGCAGAGCAGAAAAUCAUUUCAGCAAGUUGAGUCACAUUCCUACAGCUGAGCACGCUCCAUCCGAGGGGAGAAAAAUCACACUUCCCCUCCCAUUGUCAUCGGACGAGGGUUUGGGGGGCCUAAAUCCCAUUGUCCACUGCUUAAUUCUGGUUAGGUCAUGCUGAGCACGGGGCCACAGGCCACAGAGCUAUGCACCGCCCGGCCUGGGGUCCAGGCGAGCUUACAGCACAGGGGCCAAGCGGGAGGCAGGGAAGACCGGGCCGAGAUGGGGCCGCUGUGUGUGGAGCAGCACUUGCAGACGCAGGUCGCGGGUACACGCGCUUAGAAGGAGGGGGGCCGAGACCAUGGGGAGAGCAAGGGACACCAAAGGGCGCUUCGGGCGCGCCCCGCACGGGUUCUCUGCCCGAAACCCAGGGGAAAGAAACCCCAGCCCGCAAGUACCGUCUGCAAGAGGGCCGAGCACACGGGCUCCGGCAUCAGGGGCCCUGGUACCUUUCAGCCGCGGCCGGUCUCACGGCCUCUGGACCCUGAGAGUCGUGGGCGUUCAGGGCCGACUCUGGCUUUUGGCCUCAGAGUACAGUCCUCCGCCUCCUCGCGACCCAGCGAGGCCACCGGAGCCAGCGAGGAGACGUGGGCCGCGGUGAGAAGAGAGAGCACCCGGCUCGUGUCAGGGCUGUAAGGUAGCUGCCGCUUACUCCCGGAAACCGGUGGCCAGUGACAGAUGCUAGCGGUCCAUAACUUCGGCUUUCAUGCAGCUCCCGUCGUCCCUUUCAUGAGGAACGUACGUGUGCGCGUAAUCACGCACGUACGUACACCACGCACGUACGCAGGAGGCCCGUAUUCAGCCACGCCUAUACACCGCCAAAUCGCUAGGAAGCCACGUAUUCACGAAGCCACGCAGUGACGUCGCCACGCACGUACGCACGCACUUGCCACAAGGAGACGCUGUUCAGUUUACCGGAUCCUGUCCCGCGCCAGCCAACCAGGACAAGGCCGGGGAGCUCGAGACAGGCAGCCUAGACCAAGAACCGGAAGGAGGAAAAGGAACCGGAGGGAGGAAGAGGAGGGGCGGGACGAGACCACCAGGCAAGAGUCCAAACUUUCCCGCGGCGACCUAACUGCACCUCCAGUGUCUUCCCCCAGAGGGCACAGAAGCAGCAAGAAGGGCGGGAACACUUGACUGGGGUCCAUGCAGCUCUAGGCUGAGUCUUGCAGGGCUGAGCCCCCCAGGCCUGCUCUCCUGUGUCCUGGCCGCUCCGUCAGUGCCUGCCAGUGGGGUCCAGAGGGACCGUUUUUUUAACGCCUCUUUUGCAGUCUCCCGCAUUGACUUCAUAACCAAGUUCUGGGUCCCUGCCUCUGGAGUGCCUGAUGAGACAAAACGGCUCCUCGUCCUGCAUCCCCGCUGCUACUUCCAGAAUUCAGGCCUCGUGGUCUGGAGCCUGCACUGUUCCAUGAGCCUCCUGAGCAACCUGGAGUCCUCUGUCUUUCUUCCCUCAGUGAGAUGCGCCUACUUCUCCCUGGAGAAGCUUGAGGAAGCAGAAAUGCUGGAGAUGAGGUGAGGAGGAGAGGGUCCCUCUUUAUGGGAUGUAGGCCGUAGGGCUGC
rnacentral:lncRNA from 1 species